UACAGAGGGGGCAAGCGUUGUUCGGAAUUACUGGGCGUAAAGGGCGCGUAGGCGGCCUUCUAAGUCGAACGUGAAAUCCCCGGGCUCAACCCGGGAACUGCGUCCGAUACUGGAAGGCUUGAAUCCGGGAGAGGGAUGCGGAAUUCCAGGUGUAGCGGUGAAAUGCGUAGAUAUCUGGAGGAACACCCGUGGCGAAGGCGGCCACCUGGGCCGACCCUGACGCUGAGGCGCGAAGGCGUGGGGAGCGAACGGG
rnacentral:rRNA from 1 species